GUCCAGACUCCUACGGGAGGCAGCAGUGGGGAAUAUUGGUCAAUGGCCGAGAGGCUGAACCAGCCAAGUCGCGUGAGGGAAGACGGCCCUACGGGUUGUAAACCUCUUUUGUCGGGGAGCAAAGCGAGUCACGUGUGACUCAUUGAGAGUACCCGAAGAAAAAGCAUCGGCUAACUCCGUGCCAGCAGCCGCGGUAAUACGUAGGGAGCAAGCGUUAUCCGGAUUUAUUGGGUGUAAAGGGUGCGUAGACGGGAAAACAAGUUAGUUGUGAAAUCCCUCGGCUUAACUGAGGAACUGCAACUAAAACUAUUUUUCUUGAGUGUUGGGGAGGAAAGUGGAAUUCCUAGUGUAGCGGUGAAAUGCGUAGAUAUUAGGAGGAACACCAGUGGCGAAGGCGACUUUCUGGACAAUAACUGACGUUGAGGCACGAAAGUGUGGGGAGCAAACAGGAUUAGAUACCCGAGUAAGG
rnacentral:rRNA from 1 species